GUUGAACGCUGGCGGCAGGCCUAACACAUGCAAGUCGAGCGGAUGAAGGGAGCUUGCUCCUGGAUUCAGCGGCGGACGGGUGAGUAAUGCCUAGGAAUCUGCCUGGUAUUGGUGUAUAACGUCCGGAAACGGGCGCUAAUACCGCAUACUUCCUGAUGGAGAAAGUGGGUGAUCUUCGGACCUCACGCUAUCAGAUGAGCCUAGGUCGGAUUAGCUAGUUGGUUGGGUAAAUGCCUACCAAGGCGACGAUCCGUAACUGGUCUGAGAGGAUGAUCAGUCACACUGGAAGUGAGACACGGUCCAGACUCCUACGGGAGGCAGCAGUGGGGAAUAUUGGACAAUGGGCGAAAGCAUGAUCCAGUCAUGCCGAGUGUGUGAAGAAGGUCUUCGGAUUGUAAAGCCCUUUAAGUUGGGAGGAAGGGCAGUAAGUUAAUACCUUGCUGUUUUGACGGUACCAACAGAAUAAGCACCGGCUAACUUCGUG
rnacentral:rRNA from 1 species